CCUACGGGUGGCAGCAGUGAGGAAUAUUGGUCAAUGGGCUCGAGCCUGAACCAGCCAAGUAGCGUGAAGGAUGACUGCCCUACGGGUUGUAAACUUCUUUUAUCAAGGAGUAAAGUGAGGCACGUGUGCCUUUUUGUAUGUACUUUAUGAAUAAGGAUCGGCUAACCCCGGUCCAGCAGCCGCGGUAAGACGGGGGCUCCGAGCGGUCUCCGGAUUGAUUGGGUUUAAAGGGAGCGUAGAUGGGUUGUUAAGUCAUGUGUGAAAGUUUGCGGCUCAACCGUAAAAUGGCAAUUGAUACUGGCAGCCUUGAGCACAGUGGAGGUAGGCGGAAUUCGUGGUGUAGCGGUGAAAUGCUUAGAUAUCACGAAGAACUCCGAUUGCGAAGGCAGCCUACUAAACUGCCACUGACAGUGAUGCUCGAAAGUGUGGGUAUCAAACAGGAUUAGAUACCCGGGUAGUC
rnacentral:rRNA from 1 species